rnacentral:rRNA from 1 species
GACGAACGCUGGCGGCGUGCUCAACACAUGCAAGUCGAACGAAGAGCGAUGGAAGCUUGCUUCUAUCAAUCUUAGUGGCGAACGGGUGAGUAACGCGUAAUCAACCUGCCCUUCAGAGGGGGACAACAGUUGGAAACGACUGCUAAUACCGCAUACGAUCUAAUCUCGGCAUCGAGGAUAGAUGAAAGGUGGCCUCUACAUGUAAGCUAUCACUGAAGGAGGGGAUUGCGUCUGAUUAGCUAGUUGGAGGGGUAACGGCCCACCAAGGCGAGGAUCAGUAGCCGGUCUGAGAGGAUGAACGGCCACAUUGGGACUGAGACACGGCCCAGACUCCUACGGGAGGCAGCAGUGGGGAAUCUUCCGCAAUGGACGAAAGUCUGACGGAGCAACGCCGCGUGAGUGAUGACGGCCUUCGGGUUGUAAAGCUCUGUUAAUCGGGACGAAAGGCCUUCUUGCGAAUAGUGAGAAGGAUUGACGGUACCGGAAUAGAAAGCCACGGCUAACUACGUG